UCGGGUGUGGUGCACGGCGCACGGCGGCUUGAGUUACGGUAGUCCUUGAGAAUGCACGUAAGCCGCAGACUUCCGGGGUUCGACUCCCCGCACCCGAA